CGCGGAAAGGGCUAGAGUAGGGAUGAGACGGAGCGGGACGUCCCCGGUGAGGUGCCGAGGGCUACGUUUGUGACAGGCUUGUAGGUGCGGAAUUCGUUGAGCAUCACCUGGCCGCCGGGUCCCAAGGCUUUCGGUGGAAACAGUACCCAAAACAGCGCUCUCUUCCUUACCUCCCUCGGUAGUGGCCAACUAACUCAGGAAAUAUCAUCAGGACCAGAUCAAGAGGCCAGCCAUGACUGACAUGGAUCACUUGGAUUUCUCCUAAUCCUUAGCUACAGGCAGAUC